UCAUCAUCGACGGGUAUCAUCCUUCUCACCGGACGGUUGGAUCUUCUGGUGUUUGCAUGAUUUGCAUUAAUUUGGCAAAUGUUGUCGAUACCGGACGCCGACGAUAAGCGCUGACAUGACCAGAUCCAUUUGGUCAUUAAUUAGCCCACAGCUUUCCAUUCCUCCGUCUUCCUCCUCUGGGUUUCUGGUGUUCUGCUACUCUGGCCCACAU
rnacentral:snRNA from 1 species